rnacentral:rRNA from 1 species
AACGAACGCUGGCGGCAGGCCUAACACAUGCAAGUCGAGCGCCCCCUUUCAGAGGUCAGAUUUCAGAUGCCGGAUGUCAGAAGCGCUGUGCGUGGAUCACGCGCGGUGCGUUUCUGAUAUCUGUCAUCUGACCUCUGACCUCUGAUGGGGGAGCGGCGGACGGGUGAGUAACGCGUGGGAAUUUUCCUCAAGGUAGGGAACAACUCAGGGAAACUUGGGCUAAUACCCUAUGAUGCAGAGAUGCCAAAGAUUUAUCGCCUUGGGAUAAGCCCGCGUCAGAUUAGGUAGUUGGUGGGUAACGGCCUACCAAGCCUGCGAUCUGUAGCUGGUCUGAGAGGACGAUCAGCCACACU